UACGGAGGAUUCGAGCGUUAUCCGGAUUUAUUGGGCUUAAAGGGUGCGCAGGCGGACUGGUAAGUCAGCUGUGAAAGCUUACGGCUCAACCGUGAAAUUGCAGUGGAUACUGUUGGGCUAGAGUAUAGAUGAGGUGGGUGGAAUUUGUGGUGUAGCGGUGAAAUGCUUAGAGAUCAGAAGGAAUUCCAAUGGCGAAGGCAGCCCACUGGGGUAUAACUGACGCUGAGGCGCGAAGGUGUGGGGAUCAAACAGG
rnacentral:rRNA from 1 species